rnacentral:rRNA from 1 species
GACGAACGCUGGCGGCGUGCUUAACACAUGCAAGUCGAACGGUGACCUUGAGAGCUUGCUCUUGGGGGAGCAGUGGCGAACGGGUGAGUAACACGUGAGUAACCUGCCCCUGACUCUGGAAUAAGCGCUGGAAACGGCGUCUAAUACCGGAUACGAGAUGCCACCGCAUGGUGAGUGUCUGGAAAGUUUUUCGGUCUGGG